rnacentral:tRNA from 1 species
GGGGACGUAGAGCGUUAGGGGAGGCGCGUCGGCCUGUAGAGCCGGAGCCCGCGAGGGCCCGCUGGGUUCAACUCCCAGCGUCCCCA